CGGACGGGUGAGUAAUGUCUGGGAAACUGCCUGAUGGAGGGGGAUAACUACUGGAAACGGUAGCUAAUACCGCAUAACGUCGCAAGACCAAAGAGGGGGACCUUCGGGCCUCUUGCCAUCGGAUGUGCCCAGAUGGGAUUAGCCAGUAGGUGGGGUAACGGCUCACCUAGGCGACGAUCCCUAGCUGGUCUGAGAGGAUGACCGGCCACACUGGAACUGAGACACGGUCCAG
rnacentral:rRNA from 1 species